rnacentral:rRNA from 1 species
AUACGUAGGGGGCGAGCGUUGUCCGGAAUGAUUGGGCGUAAAGGGCGCGUAGGCGGCCCGGUAAGUCUGGAGUGAAAGUCCUGUUUUUAAGAUGGGAAUUGCUUUGGAUACUGUCGGGCUUGAGUGCAGGAGAGGUAAGUGGAAUUCCCAGUGUAGCGGUGAAAUGCGUAGAGAUUGGGAGGAACACCAGUGGCGAAGGCGACUUACUGGACUGUAACGGACGCUGAGGCGCGAAAGUGUGGGGAGCAAACAGGAUUAGAUACCCUGGUAGUCCACACUGUAAACGAUGAAUGCUAGGUGUAGGGGGUAUCGACCCCCUCUGUGCCGCAGUCAACACAAUAAGCAUUCCGCCUGGGGAGUACGGCCGCAAGGUUGAAACUCAAAUGAAUUGACGGGG